GCCCCCGUAGCUCAGUGGAUAGAGCGCCGGUUUCCGGUACCGAAGGUCGCAGGUUCGACUCCUGUCGGGGGCA
rfam:Corynebacterium frankenforstense DSM 45800 strain ST18, complete genome.